rnacentral:rRNA from 1 species
UACGUAGGGUGCAAGCGUUGUCCGGAAUUAUUGGGCGUAAAGAGCUCGUAGGCGGUGUGUCGCGUCUGCUGUGAAAACUCAGGGCUCAACUCUGAGCUUGCAGUGGGUACGGGCACACUAGAGUGCUGUAGGGGAGACUGGAAUUCCUGGUGUAGCGGUGAAAUGCGCAGAUAUCAGGAGGAACACCGGUGGCGAAGGCGGGUCUCUGGGCCGAUACUGACGCUGAGGAGCGAAAGCGUGGGGAGCGAACAGG